rnacentral:lncRNA from 1 species
ACUCUUCCAUUUUUUGUCACCCAUCAUUCCUUCACCCACCAAACCACUAUAAAGCCAAACCCAUAUCUAAAAAAAUAAAGAGAGGAGAUAGUGUAAAACAGAUUCCUUCUAGCUUCUUUAGUUUCCAUUUUCCAUACUCUUAGUAUAUGCACAUAUGAUAAACCAAAUAAAUUCUGGUCUGCACCAGAAAUUCCCAAAUCCAAAACACUAGCAGGCUAUAUUCUUCGAUUUAUCUUCAUUAGGCAGCACUAUCAACAGUAAUAAUAGUACAUAUUCUCUACAUCAAAGUUCAAGGAGAACAUGUCCAUACCUACAACACACACGCCAUCUACACAUGAGAAUACAUAUAUGCCUAUCACUUGCACACACAGAAAAACCAGAAAAGAUAGAGUAACAUAUCACACUACAACACAAGCAAUCAGAAUACAUAUAUCGGCUAUCACAGAUCAUACACAUAACACACUGAGAUACACAAAGAACAAUCAGAUAUCAUAUAUAACACACACAUACACAGAAUACACAAGCAAUUACAACACAGAAGAAAAUUGAGAUACUUGGUACACAAAGAGGAGUAAGAAACAGCCGAGAUACCAAUAGCUAGAGAAAAAAGGAUGAGCAACAAG